rnacentral:lncRNA from 1 species
GCCACGUGGGCCGCGCGGAGAACGCGCCAGGCUCAUCACCUGGAUCAUCGUGCCUCAGUUUCCCCCUCGGCAAAUGGGGCUUCAGCGGCUCGCGACGCACAUUGAUGGAGCGUAUGUCCAGGCGCCGGUGCACCGCAAGGAGCAAAACAGACACAGUUCUUGGUCCUAGGGCUCACGUCCCGGGGCGAAGAGGAUCCUCCAUAAACGAUCAGCCAUAGCAGCUGUGAUUGGACAAGAGACUGAUUUCAGUGACUUUCUCCUAAUAAGAGACCACCGACCAGCUGACCAUGCCGACCAGCUGACCCGUUAAUAGAGAGAGAUGAUGCACCUGCAUGCCUUUGUGUCCUGAAAAGACGUUUUGCCAUAAAGGCCCUAAUUGUAAGAUGUGUAAAUGUUAAGUCUCCACCCCAAAGUGAACAUGGGUCAUAUAUUACAUGCUUUGCUCAAUAAGAGGGCAUGUGUCAGGACCACCUUCAUGAAUAUUCAUAGCUCCUCCUGUUACCUGUUGAAUAUGUAUGUUUAGCCAAUCCCUUCAGCAUAGCGCUCCUGCCCCAACCCCUCCUCCUUGGACGUGCCUGUCUCUGGCCUUGGCUGGAGACAGAUUCCCAGCCUCAGACAGAUGGCCGCCACCUUGCAGGCUACGACCGUUUACAAGAAAUAAAGCCUUCUCUUUUUCCAAA